GCCGGUAUAGCUCAGUCGGUAGAGCAUCUGAUUUGUAAUCAGAGGGUCGGGGGUUCGAAUCCCUCUGCCGGCACCA
rnacentral:tRNA from 1 species